GGAAGUAAAUGUCGUAACAAGGUUUCCGUAGGUGAACCUACGGAAGGAUCAUUAUUGUAUAACCGAGGUGCGAGGGCUGUCGCUGACCCGAAAGGUCGUGCACGCCCGAGUGCCCUCACACACAUCCAUCUCACCCCUAUGUGCACCACCGCGUGGGUCCCCCUUUGGCUUGUUCGGAGGGGGGCUUACGUUUUCACACAAACUUUGUAUGCAGUGUAGAAUGUAUUUUUUGUUUUUGCGAUCACGCAAUCAAUACAACUUUCAACAACGGAUCUCUUGGCUCUC
rnacentral:misc_RNA from 1 species